AGCCUGGAACAAGCCAGGAACAGAAACCACCUGGGCGGGUCACCCACACGCCUUUUUGUAAAAGGAGGAACAUGGCAUCAGCCCAGCAGCUACGGCAGCGCAGGAAAACAACGGCGGGCACGACACCCACGGCGGCUGCGGGGCAGGGGGUGUCCUGGCUGGAGAGCCACUCGGGGCAGCCCUGGACCAGGCCCGGCGGGGGUCUCUCCCUGCCCUAUUUAUUGGGACACUGAAGGCCCUGGGGUUUACGGUGGGCUCAGCUUCACAGCACAGCUAGAAAUAGAUUGAUUCCUGGCUGAGUCCUGCAAUGGUUUCCUUGCUCCAGGAUCAAGCCAGGAUCAAGUUUCCUUCUCUGGAUCCCCUGGAGAGCAACCCACGUGGAAACGCCAUGCAGGCCUGCGAAGAGACCGUGUCCCCUGCCCAGCAGGCGCAUCCGGGCUUCCACCGCCAGCCCCGCGACGGACACGGCCGGGCGGACCGAAGCCCUCCUGGAUCCCCGCGCAGUUCCGCCGCCUCCCCGCCCUGCCCGGAGC